GCGGCUGUAGCGCAGCCUGGAUACAUCAAAUCCUUGAUGGAUUUGCCGUAAGGCAAAUAGCGCGACUGCCUCCUAAGCAGUAGGUCGGGGGUUCGAAUCCCCUCAGCCGCG
rnacentral:tRNA from 1 species